CCUACGGGAGGCAGCAGUGGGGAAUAUUGCACAAUGGGGGAAACCCUGAUGCAGCGACGCCGCGUGAAGGAAGAAGUAUUUCGGUAUGUAAACUUCUAUCAGCAGGGAAGAAAAUGACGGUACCUGAAGAAGAAGCCCCGGCUAACUACGUGCCAGCAGCCGCGGUAAUACGUAGGGGGCAAGCGUUAACCGGAUUUACUGGGUGUAAAGGGGGCGCAGACGGCGAUGCAAGCCAGGAGUGAAAGCCCGGGGCCCAACCCCGGGACGGCUCUUGAAACUGCGUGGCUGGAGUGCAGGAGGGGAAGGCGGAAUUCAUGGUGUAGCGGUGAAAUGCGUAGAUAUCAUGAGGAACACCGAUGGCGAAGGCGGCCGGCUGGACUGCAACUGACGUUGAGGCCCGAAAGCGUGGGGAGCAAACAGGAUUAGAUACCCGGGUAGUC
rnacentral:rRNA from 1 species